rnacentral:lncRNA from 1 species
CAAAGGUCAGAUGCUGCGGCUGGUUCCCAGCCUUCCCCAGAGGCCCCACCCGCCUGAGGCCGCUCCUUCCACAGACAGGUUCCUGGAUCCUGGCGCAAGGACGGAGCGCGGCCGCCGGAGCAAACUGGCAAGUUUACUUCUCGGCCAUGAAGACCCCCAGACUGUCUCCGGGGCUACCUUGGACAUCCACAGUACAUGACUGCUGGCUUUCCAUUCAAACUGUGCUCUGGAAAACCCAGAUUUAGGUCACAGAGAAAAAUCGCCACACUUCCAAUAAAGCACUCUGACAGAUACGAAACACUCCCGAAAUGCUGGUUAGCACCAUUUUGCUCUUCCUUGUGUAAAUCAGCACAGUCACGGGCGCCAUUAUAAAUUGCCUCUUGUUGUGCAUCAAUAAACUUUACAAGAUAAUGG